AUUGAACGCUGGCGGCAGGCCUAACACAUGCAAGUCGAGCGGAUGAAGGGAGCUUGCUCCUGGAUUCAGCGGCGGACGGGUGAGUAAUGCCUAGGAAUCUGCCUGGUAGUGGGGGAUAACGUCCGGAAACGGGCGCUAAUACCGCAUACGUCCUGAGGGAGAAAGUGGGGGAUCUUCGGACCUCACGCUAUCAGAUGAGCCUAGGUCGGAUUAGCUAGUUGGUGGGGUAAAGGCCUACCAAGGCGACGAUCCGUAACUGGUCUGAGAGGAUGAUCAGUCACACUGGAACUGAGACACGGUCCAGACUCCUACGGGAGGCAGCAGUGGGGAAUAUUGGACAAUGGGCGAAAGCCUGAUCCAACCAUGCCGCGUGUGUGAAGAAGGUCUUCGGAUUGUAAAGCACUUUAAGUUGGGAGGAAGGGCAGUAAGUUAAUACCUUGCUGUUUUGACAUUACCAACAGAAUAAGCACCGGCUAACUUCGUG
rnacentral:rRNA from 1 species